ACGCUGGCGGCGUGCCUAAUACAUGCAAGUCGAACGAGAGCGACCGGUGCUUGCACUGGUCAAUCUAGUGGCGAACGGGUGAGUAACACGUGGGUAACCUGCCCAUCAGAGGGGGAUAACAUUCGGAAACGGAUGCUAAAACCGCAUAGGUCUUCGAACCGCAUGGUUUGAAGAGGAAAAGAGGCGCAAGCUUCUGCUGAUGGAUGGACCCGCGGUGCAUUAGCUAGUUGGUGAGGUACGGCUCACCAAGGCCGUGAUGCAUAGCCGACCUGAGAGGGUGAUCGGCCACAUUGGGACUGAGACACGGCCCAAACUCCUACGGGAGGCAGCAGUAGGGAAUCUUCCGCAAUGGACGCAAGUCUGACGGAGCAACGCCGCGUGAGUGAAGAAGGUUUUCGGAUCGUAAAACUCUGUUGUUAGAGAAGAACAAGUGCUAGAGUAACUGUUAGCGCCUUGACGGUAUCUAACCAGAAAGCCACGGCUAACUACGUGCCAGCAGCCGCGGUAAUACGUAGGUGGCAAGCGUUGUCCGGAUUUAUUGGGCGUAAAGCGAGCGCAGGCGGUUCCUUAAGUCUGAUGUGAAAGCCCCCGGCUCAACCGGGGAGGGUCAUUGGAAACUGGGGAACUUGAGUGCAGAAGAGGAGAGUGGAAUUCCAUGUGUAGCGGUGAAAUGCGUAGAUAUAUGGAGGAACACCAGUGGCGAAGGCGACUCUCUGGUCUGUAACUGACGCUGAGGCUCGAAAGCGUGGGUAGCAAACAGGAUUAGAUACCCUGGUAGUCCACGCCGUAAACGAUGAGUGCUAAGUGUUGGAGGGUUUCCGCCCUUCAGUGCUGCAGUUAACGCAUUAAGCACUCCGCCUGGGGAGUACGACCGCAAGGUUGAAACUCAAAGGAAUUGACGGGGACCCGCACAAGC
rnacentral:rRNA from 1 species